ACACUUUUGAUAAUAUAUUGAUGUAAUAGCACGGCUGGAGAGCCGGAGAGGUGUUAGUCAAAAUAUUUCAUCUCUCUCAGUCUCAGUCUCUCUCUGGUAGGCCAUAAAAGAGUAAGAUUCUUCUCUCCACGGAUAUGGCCGACCAGUUAUUGGAUAAAUGAUAGCACGUGCAACUAGCUUGAUGGGAAGAAUGAAAGUGGCAGAGAUAAGAGUGAAAACAAGACACUACUAUUAUUGAGAGAAAGAAAGAAAGAUACAUUUCAGACCAGAUCAGUAGGGUUAGUAAACUAUAGCUUAGUUCUACCUCGCUCACUCUCAAGACGCUUCUCGCCACUCCUUAAAUAAAACCCAGACGCCUUGUUCAAUAUAUACAAUCCAAACAGUCUGAUCUCUCUCUCUCUCUCUCUCUCUCUCUCUCAAUCUCUCUCUCUCUCUGAACAAUUCACAAGCGGUUUAAAUCAUGAGCCAGAACGAGGGAGGAGCGGCGGUACCAGCGACGAAGAAAAGGCUACAAUGCAAAGGUUUGGGAAAGUUUGUGAAACAAGAAAGAGCAAGGAUCUACAUUAUUAGAACAUGUGUUGUUACAUUACUUUGUUGGCGUGACUGACUAGUUUCAUUGCUUAAUCUUUUAUUUAUUUACAUGUAGACGUUCAUCACUAUUUGUAUUUUCUAGUUAAGAUUAUAAAGUGUGUAUCUUUUUAAUUAGUUCACUCCUCACUUGAUCUGCUAGUUAAGUUCGCACUUUUUUUGUUAGAAAAUAUAUAAAUCUUUCUCUUAAA
rnacentral:lncRNA from 1 species